UGCUUAGUGGCUGAAGAAAUAGUGCAGGUCUUUUAAACCUGAAAAUAGUAGAUAUACUCUGAGCUA
rnacentral:tRNA from 1 species